UCCCGCUCCGUGGCUGUCACCGGCCGGUCCCCCCGGCCGUCCCCGCCCGCCUCCCCCUGUCUCUUUCCAUCUCCCGGUCUCCGCGGCGUUUCUCUGCCUCCUUCCUCGCCUCUCCCGGCCUCUCUGGCUGUCCCCGGCUCUCUUCCUCACUGCCUCUCUCUUUUUCUCUUACCCCUCUCUCCUCGGCUGCUCUCACCACUUCCUCCCUCCCUCUCCGGCUUCCUUCUACCUCCCCUCACUCUCCCCCCUUUCUCGCCUUGCUCAGGGGGACUCGCUAUCUCUUUCUCUGUCUCUCCUUGGAACAGCGGCCCCCAGAAUGCAACUGAAGCCAUUUCCCCGCUCUGAGACCUCGGACAAGUCACUCCACGCCAGGGCUGCAGUUUCCUAUCUCUAAAAGGAGUUGAUGAGCAGCUCUAGGUGGGGUGGCGAUGGGGGACGCAGGAGGUGUCCCCUGCCUGUGGUCCCCUGUUGAAGUUCACGCCUCCUCAAAUGCAGCGGCCACCCAGGGCUCGCUGGGUGCCCUGUGUGCCCCACAAAACACCUUUCCUCAGCCUCGAGAACAAGUACUAGAGGGCAGUUCCGCGGGAAAAGUUAAUGUUUCAGGGAUGUUUCCCGGACCGAGUGUGGCUUCAGAGUCAGAGAGAUGUGAGUUCAAGACCACUUGCUUAGGAUGUAGGGGCUGGGGCCGCUGUCACCACCUCACAACCAUGGGGCUUCUGAGACCGAAGCCAGCACAGCAGAAGGCAGCAGCACGGUGGAGCG